rnacentral:rRNA from 1 species
UAAAAUAAUUAAGGGCACAUAGGGAAUGCCUAGGUAGUAAGAGCCGAUGAAGGACGUGGUAAGCUGCGAUAAGCUCAGGGUAGUUGCAAUCGAACGUUGAUCCUGAGAUUUCCGAAUGGAGCAAUCCGCUAAGUUGAAGACUUAGCACGAAAGAGGGUACCGCGUGAACUGAAACAUCUAAGUAACGCGAGGAAAAGAAAGUAAAAACGAUUCCCCAAGUAGCGGCGAGCGAACGGGGAUGAGCCCAAACCGCAUAAAUGUCAAGGAUGCAGCCGUUGUUUAUGCGGGGUUGUGGGAAGAACUACGAGGAACUGCAACGUACUCAACAAUGUUAAUGACUGAACUGGAACUAGUUGGAAAGCUAGAUCGUAGAAGGUGACAAUCCUGUACAGGUAAACUCAUUAACUUGUCCGUUCUCUCCCAAGUAACAUGGAACACGAGGAAUUCUGUGUGAAUCUGCGAGGACCAUAUCUCGUAAGGCUAAAUACUCUUACUAACCGAUAGCGUAUAGUACCGUGAGGGAAAGGUGAAAAGAACCCCGGGAGGGGAGUGAAAUAGAACCUGAAACCGCAUGCAUACAAACAGUAGGAGCCUCGUCAGAGGUGACUGCGUACCUUUUGCAUAAUGGGUCAGCGACUUACAUUCUGUGGCGAGCUUAACCGAAUAGGGGAGGCGCAGCGAAAGCGAGUUCGAAAUGAGCGUCCAGUCGCAGGGUGUAGACCCGAAACCAGAUGAGCUAUCCAUGGCCAGGUUGAAGGUGUGGUAACACACACUGGAGGACCGAACCGACUAGUGUUGCAAAAUUAGCGGAUGAGCUGUGGAUAGGGGUGAAAGGCCAAACAAAUCUGGAGAUAGCUGGUUCUCCCCGAAAACUAUUGAGGUAGUGCCUCGUGUGUCGCUCCAGGGGGUAGAGCACUGUUUUGGCUAGGGGGACAUGGAGUCUUACCAAACCAAGGCAAACUCCGAAUACCUGGAAGCGUAAGCACGGGAGACAGAGCACCGGGUGCUAACGUCCGGACUCAAAAGGGAAACAACCCAGACCGCCGGCUAAGGUCCCCAAUAACAGCUAAGUGGAAAACGAAGUGGAAAGGCCGUGACAACCAGGAAGUUGGCUUAGAAGCAGCCAUCCUUCAAAGAAAGCGUAAUAGCUCACUGGUCGAGUCCUUCUGCGCGGAAGAUGUAACGGGGCUAAGCUGUUAACCGAAGCCGCGGAUGCACUGAUUAUUCAGUGCGUGGUAGGGGAGCGUUCUGUAAGUCUGCGAAGGCGGUUCGAGAGGACUGCUGGAGAUAUCAGAAGUGCGAAUGCUGACAUGAGUAACGUUAAAGCAGGUGAAAAGCCUGCUCGCCGUAAGCCCAAGGAUUCCUGCUCUACGUUCAUCGGAGCAGGGUGAGUCGGCUCCUAAGGUCAGGCCGAAAGGCGUAGCCGAUGGGAAUCAGGUUAAUAUUCCUGAACCUGCGUCAGAUGCGAUGGGGGGACGGAGCAUGAAAGAUCAUCCGGGUGUUGGAUGUCCCGGUUGACGAGCGUAGGAGGUCUGCAGGCAAAUCCGCAGACGCAUCUCCAAGGCAAAGACACGUGCCGCCACGGCGGCGAAGUGAUCGGAAGUGCUUCCAAGAAAAGCCUCUAAGCACCAGUCUGGCGCGGACCGUACCGCAAACCGACACUGGUGGGCGAGCUGAAUAUGCUCAGGCGCUUGAGAGAACUCGGGAGAAGGAACUCGGCAAAUUGACACCGUAACUUCGGAAGAAGGUGUGCCGUAGUAGCGUGAGAGGAGAGACACCUUGAGCGUGAAUCGGUCUCAGAGAAUAGGUGGCUGCGACUGUUUAUUAAAAACACAGCACUCUGCAAAGUCGAAAGACGACGUAUAGGGUGUGAUGCCUGCCCGGUGCUGGAAGAUUAAUUGAUGGGGUGAGAGCCCUUGAUCGAAGUCCCAGUAAACGGCGGCCGUAACUAUAACGGUCCUAAGGUAGCGAAAUUCCUUGUCGGGUAAGUUCCGACCUGCACGAAUGGCAUAACGAUGGCCACACUGUCUCCUCCCGAGACUCAGUGAAGUUGAAAUGUUUGUGAUGAUGCAAUCUACCCGCGGCUAGACGGAAAGACCCCAUGAACCUUUACUGCAGCUUUGCAUUGAACUGUGAACCGAUUUGUGUAGGAUAGGUGGGAGGCAGAGAAGAGUCCACGCCAGUGGUCUUGGAGCCGACCUUGAAAUACCACCCUGAUUUGUUUGCGGUUCUAACCACGGACAGUGAUCCUGUCUUGGGACCGUGCAUGGUAGGCAGUUUGACUGGGGCGGUCUCCUCCUAAAGGGUAACGGAGGAGUACGAAGGUACGCUAGGUACGGUCGGAAAUCGUGCUGAUAGUGCAAUGGCAAAAGCGUGCUUGACUGCGAGAGCAACAACUCGAGCAGAUGCGAAAGCAGGUCAUAGUGAUCCGGUGGCUCUGAAUGGAAGGGCCAUCGCUCAACGGAUAAAAGGUACUCCGGGGAUAACAGGCUGAUACCGCCCAAGAGUUCAUAUCGACGGCGGUGUUUGGCACCUCGAUGUCGGCUCAUCACAUCCUGGGGCUGAAGUAGGUCCCAAGG